rnacentral:rRNA from 1 species
AUUGAACGCUGGCGGCAGGCCUAACACAUGCAAGUCGAGCGGAUGAAGGGAGCUUGCUCCUGGAUUCAGCGGCGGACGGGUGAGUAAUGCCUAGGAAUCUGCCUGGUAGUGGGGGAUAACGUCCGGAAACGGGCGCUAAUACCGCAUACGUCCUGAGGGAGAAAGUGGGGGAUCUUCGGACCUCACGCUCUCAGAUGAGCCUAGGUCGGAUUAGCUAGUUGGUGGGGUAAAGGCCUACCAAGGCGACGAUCCGUAACUGGUCUGAGAGGAUGAUCAGUCACAUGGGAACGGGGACACGGUCCAGACUACUACGGGAGGCAGCAGUGGGGAAUAUUGGACAGUGGGCGAAAGCCUGAUCCAGCCAGGCCGCGUGUGUGAAGAAGGUCUUCGGAUUGUAAAGCACUUUAAGUUGGGAGGAAGGGCAGUAAGUUAAUACCUUGCUGGUUUGACGUUACCAACAGAAUAAGCACCGGCUAACUUCGUG